GAUCAGUCCCUCUCGGUUUGAUUCAAGACCACUGUUUAUAGACUACCACAUGUUGAGGCAUUUUUUGUUUUUCUUUUAUAUAUAUAUG